CCCGGUUAAAGGACGACCGGUGGCGAAGGCGUUCAACUAGAACGGAUCCGACGGUGAGGAACGAGGGCUAGGGUAGCAAACCGGAUUAGAUACCCGGGUAGUCCUAGCUGUAAACACUGCCCACUUGGUGUUGCCCCUCCGAUGAGGGGAGGCAGUGCCGGAGCGAAGGUGUUAAGUGGGCCGCUUGGGGAGUAUGGUCGCAAGGCUGAAACUUAAAGGAAUUGGCGGGGGAGCACCGCAACGGGAGGAGCGUGCGGUUUAAUUGUAUUCAACGCCGGAAAAUAACCGGGAGCGACUUUUAUGAGAGUCAGCCUGAUGAGUUUCUCGAUAGAAGGAGAGGUGUGCAUGGCCGUCCUCGCUCGUACCGUAGGGCUUCCCUAAUCCGCCACCC
rnacentral:rRNA from 1 species